GCGGCAAAAUGUGACGCCCACUGCGCAUGCGCACACAUCUGAGACGAUGAAAUGGGGCAGACAGGGUAUGCCUGUAUAUACGGCUGCUAGAGAUACAUUAUCUUUCUCUGGGUACGACACUGAGUGGGCUUUUGACUUUCUGUUUGGCCGAUCUCUUGUCGAGUCAACAAAGCUUACACACAGAAAAGAGAAAAGGCUAAGGAAGCGACAUCGAAUGUGGCAGCGGAGAAGAAUGCUGGUGCUGCGGACUGCGGACUGGGGAGAAGGUGCCAUCACAAGAAGGCUUUAACAAUUAGUCACCGUUGCGCAUUGAGCGCUUACAGAGCUCACUGAAAGAAGAUGGAGAAUACAACAAGGUGAAGGAUUAGCACUCCAGUCCGCCAGUGGAGCUCUAAAUAUCUACCUGUCCAUACCUCUCGGACAAAUCCACCAACGAUUCUGCAAUUUUUCACAUUCUAAUUGCUCGUCAUCUCAUUAACCACAAUUCUUUUGUCUCCCCAGCCCACACCUCUAAACCCUCCCUCCCUCCUCUCCCUUGACCGAAAAGCUGCCGGCUAAGAGGUUUUUAAUUAUGCUGCCUCCGCUAAUGACGCGCGCGGCCAAAAGAAAAAAUAAAAACAUUGCAAAAAUUAUUAUUAACCAAAAUACGAAUAUAUACGUAUAUAAAAAAAUGCUUGGCUAUAUAUAAAAACAAUUAUCACUGUACGCAAGUAAAUGAACUCCGCACCAGACAAAGGGAGAAUUUUUUGUUUAAACCAGAUGCUAUAAAUGCCCUCAAAAAAGGUUUUCGUUUUUGCGCUGGAAAAUCUGUUCAAGUUGAUGGAUUUCAUUGAAAAUAUGCUCAAAACUGAUUAAUCUAAAAAUAAUGGAAAAACGUAGACCCGAAGGGGAUGGCAGAGGAAACUGAUAAUAAAAAUGAUACUCUUUUAAAGAGAUAUAAAAGAUUCACAUCUCCAUUUUUCACUUCCUAUUCAAAUGCUAAUU